CCUUCGGACUGGCUCGGGGAGGUUGGCAACGACCACCCCAAGCCGGAAAGUUGGUCAAACUCGGUCAUUUAGAGGAAGUAAAAGUCGUAACAAGGUCUCCGUAGGUGAACCUGCGGAGGGAUCAUUACACAAGUAUGCUUGCCCCGGACUACCGCCGUCCCCUACUUGAGCGGUAGCCGCUAGGGGAGGGUGGUAGCCUGGGACCCAUAUUCACCCAUGUCUUUUUGCGUACUACCUGUUUCCUUGGCGAGCUCGCUCGCCAAUUGAACCACCAAUUAAGCCUUUUUGUAAUUGCAAUCAGCGUCAGAUAACACAAAUGUAAUAAAUUACAACUUUCAACAACGGAUCUCUUGGUUCUCGCAUCGAUGAAGAACGCAGCGAAAUGCGAUAAGUAAUGUGAAUUGCAGAAUUCAGUGAAUCAUCGAAUCUUUGAACGCACAUUGCGCCCCUUGGUAUUCCGAGGGGCAUGCCUGUUCGAGCGUCAUUACACCACUCAAGCACCGCUUGGUAUUGGGCACCCGUCCGCCGCAAGGCGGGCGUGCCUCGAAGACCUCAGCGGGGCCUCACCAGCUUCGGGCGUAGUAGAGUUAAAUCGAACGUCUUAUGAGUCUGGUUAGAACCCAUUGCCGUAAAACCUUUUAUUUUCUAGGUUGACCUCGGAUCAGGUAGGGAUACUCGCUGAACUUAAGCAUAUCAAUAAGCGGAGGAAAAGAAACCAACAGGGUAUUGCCCUAGUAACGGCGAGUGAAGCGGCAAUAGCUCAAAUUUGAAAGCUGGCCUCUGGUCCGCAUUGUAAUUUGUAGAGGAUGCUUUUAGGCAGCCGCCGGUCUAAGUUCCUUGGAACAGG
rnacentral:rRNA from 1 species